rnacentral:tRNA from 1 species
UAAAGUCCGUAGGACAUUAUCCUACAUCCUCUGAAUGCAACCCAGAUACUUUAAUUAAGCUAGGACCUUC